CCCUUAGAUGUUCUGGGCCGCACGCGCGCUACACUGAUGCAUUCAACGAGUUUCUUCCUGGUCCGAGAGGAAUGGGUAACCUUUUGAAAGUGCAUCGUGAUAGGGAUAGACUAUUGCAAUUAUUGGUCUUCAACGAGGUAUUCCUAGUAGACGUAGUUCAUCAGACUGCAUCGAUUACGUCCCUGCCCUUUGUACACACCGCCCGUCGCUCCUACCGAUUGAAUGCUCAGGUGAGCCAUUCGGACUUUCAUCAUGCUGGUUUCCAGUUUUGAUGAAGGAAAGUCUUGCGAACCUUAUCAUUUAGAGGAAGGAGAAGUCGUAACA
rnacentral:rRNA from 1 species